rnacentral:rRNA from 1 species
GAUGAACGCUAGCGGGAGGCUUAAUACAUGCAAGUCGAGCGGCAAGGUCUUCGGACCCUAGAGCGGCGCACGGGUGAGUAACGCGUACGCAAUCUGCCCUUCAGUGAGGAAUAGCCCUGGGAAACUGGGAUUAAUACCUCAUAAUAUUGAAGUAUCGCAUGGUACUUUAAUUAAAGUUCUGGCGCUGAAGGAUGAGCGUGCGUCUGAUUAGCUAGUUGGUAGGGUAACGGCCUACCAAGGCGACGAUCAGUAGGGGGCGUGAGAGCGUGACCCCCCACACGGGUACUGAGACACGGACCCGACUCCUACGGGAGGCAGCAGUAAGGAAUAUUGGGCAAUGGAGGCAACUCUGACCCAGCCAUCCCGCGUGAAGGAUUAAGGCCCUAUGGGUUGUAAACUUCUUUUGUUUGGGAAGAAAUCAGGACAUUUAUGUGCUGUUGACGGUACCUUACGAAUAAGCACCGGCUAACUCCGUGCCAGCCGCCGCAGUAACAC